rnacentral:lncRNA from 1 species
AGAGAUUGUGACUGGAAAUUGGGGGAGGUCGGACUGGAAGUGGGGGGGGCAGACUGUAAGUGGGGGUGAAGACCAGAAGUUGGUGGGGUUAGACCGGAAGUUGGUGGUUCUGAGAGGAAAUUGGAAGGGGUCGGGGUGGAAGUGGGAGGUUCCGACUGGAAAUGGAAAAUUUGGAGCCAAAGUUGGACCGGAACUUGAGAGUUCUGAUUGGAAAUUGGGGGGGUCAGACUGGAAGUGGGGGGGUUCUGACUGGAAAUUGGGGGGCGUUGGACAGGAAGUAGAGGGCUCAGACCGGAACUUGUGGUUUCUGCCUGGAAACCGAGGGUUCAAACUGAAAGUGGGGGGGUUGGACCGGAAGUGGGAGGGUUGGACCGGAAGUGGGGCGCCUGGAUUGGAAUCUGGCAGUUCCGGCUGGAAGUUGGAGGUUCAGGCUGGAAAUCAGGGGGUUCUGACCGGAAAUCGGGGGAUUCUGACUGGGAACUGGGAGCUUCUGACCGGAAGUGGGGGGUUCUGACUGGAAGUGGGGGGGCCCUGAUUGGAAACUGGGGGUUCAGACUGGAAACUGGGGGCGGGGGGGGGCUGGACCGGACGUGAAGGAGUGUUCCGACCGGAAGUUGGUGUUCUGAACCGGAAGUGAGGGCUGGACCGGAAGUUUGGGUUCUGAACAGGAAGUGAGGGCUGGACCGGAAGUGAAUGCGUAUUCUGACCGGAAGUGGGGUCUGAACCGGAAGUUGGUCCCCGCUGACCGGAAGGAGCCUCCAUCACCGCACAGCGCCAUGGAGAGCGGAGAGCAGAGCUGCCAGGCUGGGGCGCAGGAGCUGGCACGGACACAGGAGAGGAGCGAGGAGAUGAGACAGCACCUGGAACAGCUGGAGGAGCGGCAGGCGGAGCUGCAGGCGCUGUGGCAGCAGCAGCAGGGCGCCGCCAGCUGUGCCUGGGGCAGCAGCGCCACCUGGAGGGGGCGGGGGAGAGCAGGGCAAAAAUCAGGGAGCUGCGGCGGGGACACAGGGAGGACUUCGUGCAGCAGCUGGAGACGCUGAUGGACGAGCACAAGCGGCUGCAGCGCCAGCACUCCCCGGUGGCGCUGGUGGCCGCGCUGUCCCAGCUGCAGCUGACACGGGAUGAGCUGCUGAACCAGGGUGAGCACACAUGGCCCCAAAUGUCCCCAGACAGCCAUGCAAUGUCCCCAAAUGUCCCCAAAUAUUCAUAUAAUGUCUCCAAAUGUUCCCAGAUAUCCAUGCAAUGUCCCCAAAUGUCCCCAAAUGUCCCCAGAUAUCCAUGCAAUAUCCCCCCAAUGUCCCCAAAUA